CUACAGCGGUGUUUGUCAGACCAUGAGACAUCCCAUCUGUGGUGGAAGGUGGCUGAGCUACAGCGGUGUUUGUCAGACCAUGAGACAUACCAUCUGUGGUGGAAGGUGGCUGAGCUACAGCGGUGUUUGUCAGACCAUGAGACAUCCCAUCUGUGGUGGAAGGUGGCUGAGCUACAGCGGUGUUUGUCAGACCAUGAGACAUACCAUCUGUGGUGGAAGGUGGCUGAGCUACAGCGGUGUUUGUCAGACCAUGAGACAUACCAUCUGUGGUGGAAGGUGGCUGAGCUACAGCGGUGUUUGUCAGAUCAAGAGACGAAAAUCGGUUUUCUCACGAAAACGUCUGUAGCAUCUGAAUGGUUUAGCCUAGAAACUAAUAUGAUGAUGUUGUCCAUUUUGCGUAAUGCCGAUGUACCAACGUCUGUCUGUAGCGACCGAACUGUUUGGGCUACAAACGAAUAAAAAGUCAGAUUCUCACAAACACGAUGGUGUUCUCCAUUUUGCUUUACGGCCCCUACAAGUGUCACGGGACUCGUCUGAAGGUAACCCCUACAAGUGUCACGGGACUCGUCUGAAGGUAACCCCUACAAGCGUCACGGGACUCGUCUGAAGGUAACCCCUACAAGUGUCACGGGACUCGUCUGAAGGUAACCCCUACAAGUGUCACGGGACUCGUCUGAAGGUAACCCCUACAAGUGUCACGGGACUCGUCUGAAGGUAACCCCUACAAGUGUCACGGGACUCGUCUGAAGGUAACCCCUACAAGUGUCACGGGACUCGUCUGAAGGUAACCCCUACAAGUGUCACGGGACUCGUCUGAAGGUAACCCCUACAAGUGUCACGGGAC